rnacentral:rRNA from 1 species
AGGAUUCCCCUAGUAGCGGCGAGCGAAGCGGGAAGAGCUCAAAUUUGUAAUCUGGCACCUUCGGUGUCCGAGUUGUAAUCUCUAGAAGUGUUUUCCGCGUUGGACCGCACACAAGUCUGUUGGAAUACAGCGGCAUAGUGGUGAUACCCCAUUACACGGUGCGGACGCCCAGCGCUUUGUGAUACACUUUCGACGAGUCGAGUUGUUUGGGAAUGCAGCUCAAAUUGGGUGGUAAAUUCCAUCUAAAGCUAAAUAUUGGCGAGAGACCGAUAGCGAACAAGUACCGUGAGGGAAAGAUGAAAAGCACUUUGGAAAGAGAGUUAAAAGUACGUGAAAUUGUUGGAAGGGAAACGCUUGAAGUCAGACUUGCUUGCCGGGCUUGCUCGGUUUGCAGGCCAGCAUCAGUUUUCCGGGGCGGAUAAUGGCAGUUAGAAUGUAGCAGUCUCGGCUGUGUUAUAGCUUUCUGCUGGAUACGUCCUGGGGGACUGAGGAACGCAGCGUGCCGUAUGGCGAGGGCUUCGGUCCUUUCACGCUUAGGAUGCUGGUGGAAUGGCUUUAAACGACCCGUCUUGAAACACGGACCAAGGAGUCUAACAUGCUUGCGAGUAUUUGGGUGUCAAACCCGGAUGCGUAAUGAAAGUGAAUGGGAGGUGGGAAGCGCAAGCUGCACCAUCGACCGAUCU